UUGGUUGGUGGAGUGAUUUGUCUGCUUAAUUGCGAUAACGAACGAGAUCUCUGCCAAUAAAUAGAUGCCGCUUCCGUUUGUACACGAAGGUCCCUGGAGCUUGCUUUGGGGUAUCCCUGAGUGGAGGAGGAGGAUUUUUACUUAUUGGGAUUAUGCAUUCUUCCAAUUGCAUUGAGACGAGAGCCAAUAGCAGGUCU
rnacentral:rRNA from 1 species